AGUGAACGCUGGCGGUAGGCCUAACACAUGCAAGUCGAACGGCAGCACAGUAAGAGCUUGCUCUUACGGGUGGCGAGUGGCGGACGGGUGAGGAAUACAUCGGAAUCUACUUUUUCGUGGGGGAUAACGUAGGGAAACUUACGCUAAUACCGCAUACGACCUACGGGUGAAAGCAGGGGAUCUUCGGACCUUGCGCGAUUGAAUGAGCCGAUGUCGGAUUAGCUAGUUGGCGGGGUAAAGGCCCACCAAGGCGACGAUCCGUAGCUGGUCUGAGAGGAUGAUCGGCCACACUGGAACUGAGACACGGUCCAGACUCCUACGGGAGGCAGCAGUGGGGAAUAUUGGACAAUGGGCGCAAGCCUGAUCCAGCCCUACCGCGUGGGUGAAGAAGGCCUUCGGGUUGUAAAGCCCUUUUGUUGGGAAAGAAAAGCAGCAGGUUAAUACCCCGCUGUUCUGACGGUACCCAAAGAAUAAGCACCGGCUAACUUCGUG
rnacentral:rRNA from 1 species